GCGUCGGAACGGAGACCGGGAGGCGGCGGCUGCAGCGCGGGCCAGCGGGGGAGCGAGGCCGAGGCGGCGCAGCCGGGCAGCGGGAGGCAGCUCCCGGGCCGAGCCCCGGCGACCCCGCGGGCGCGAACACCGGCGCCCCGGCAGCCGCGAGCGGAGCCCGAGGCGCAGGCGGGCUUGGGUCGCGGGAGGCCUGGCCCCGGAGGCGGACCCGGGCGGCGCGCCCCCGAGCAGGCCUCUCCAGCCGGCGGCCCUCAGCCUCCCGGCCCGGGCGAGAGGCCGGGCAGAGGCCGCCCCCGCCGCCACCGCCCCGGAGCCCAGGAGCCCGGCGCCCAUUGGCGGCGGCGGAGCGGAGGCCCCGCCCCCUCCGCCGCCGCCGCUUCCCGGCCCCGCCCCCGCCCCCUCCGGGAGCCGCCUCCGCCGGCGCCACAGCCGCUGCAGCUUCUGGCCCGGGCCCAGCCAGCGCCCGCCGCGCCAGAGUCGAGGCGCCGCCGGGGCCGCUGCCCGCGGGCCCGCCAUGAGCGGAAGCGCUGCCGCCGCGGUCGCCGCCGCCACCGCCUCAGCAGCCGCGGCCGCCGCGCACUUCCAGCCCUCGUCGUCGUCUCCCAGGCCGGGCCCCGCCGAGCUCGGGCCCCCGCGCCGCCCGCGCCCCCCGCCGCCGCCCCGGCCCGAGCCCGCCGCCGUCGGCCGCCUCAGCCCUCCGGGCCCCGGGCCUCUCCGGGCGGGCGCGCAGGGUGGCGGCGCCUGCGGCCGAGCGCCGGGAGCAGGUACGGGGGCGGGAGCGGGCCGGGCGGGAGGGCCGUGGGGGGCUCGCGCGGGCGGCGGCCAAGGGCGUGCGGUCCAGCAGCGCGGCCCCGCCGAGGGGCGGAGCGCGGGCGGGGGAGCCUCGUCCGGCCGGGAGCCCUGGGAGCCGGGCGUCCCCGCCGCGCCGAGCGGUUCACAAAGCGUUUCCCCCGGGGCAGCCCCUCCCCUCGGGCGGGCAGCGCGGGAGCUCUCCCGGUCCCCGCUGGGCAGAGGGGGAAACUGAGGCUGCCGCCGGGCAGUGACUUGCCCAAGGUCACAGAGCCGGUGAGAGUCGUAGCCUGGCUGGGACCCGGGCCCCCUGGGCCGGCGCGGGCCCGCGCAGGGCGCCGGGGCGAGGAGGAGCUCCCAGCCCCCGAGAGCCGGGAGGAUCGCUCGGGGAGCGGGGGGCGCCGGUCCCGGUCCGGGCACGCCCACCCAGCGCCGUUCGGGCUGGCUUAG
rnacentral:lncRNA from 1 species